rnacentral:rRNA from 1 species
UACGUAGGCAGCGAGCGUUGUUCGGAGUUACUGGGCGUAAAGCGCGCGCAGGCGGCUGAUCAAGCCUGACGUGAAAAGCCCCCGGCUCAACCGGGGAGGGUCGUCGGGGGACUGAUUGGCUUGAGGGCGGUAGGGGCCGGUGGAAUUCCCGGUGUAGUGGUGAAAUGCGUAGAGAUCGGGAGGAACACCAGUAGCGAAGGCGGCCGGCUGGGCCGACCCUGACGCUGAGGCGCGAAGGCGUGGGGAGCGAACGGGG